rnacentral:ncRNA from 1 species
AGCAGGGAAGCCGAAAACUGUUAUUAGAGUAGGCA